rnacentral:tRNA from 1 species
AUUGGUAUGGCUUAUAGGUGAUGCGCUCGGCUUGAAACCGAGAGAUGGAGGUUCGAAUCCUUCUACCA